GGUGCUGUUCCUACUUCCGCGAGUCAGGUCUUCGCAGAGCAGGCGUUCUGAAAUCUUUGGUGUUGGGAAAGGAUCAUGAAAAAGCUCACCAUUGUCUAAGCCCACCAUCUGCCCUUCUAAGAAGUGCAAUGUAUUCAGCAUAUUUCAAUGAGUGUUUUAAAUGUUCACCCUGAAUCUUUAGAAAAAGAGUACAAGGCUUUAAAGAAGACAGAGAAUUGCUCCCUUGACUGUGGAUCCAGAAUGGGGAAAAUAAUCUUCUAGAAAUAUAAGAGAGAACUUUCAAUACCUUUUCCCCAUUGUUCACUCUCAGUCUUAGGAGAUGUUCUUUGGAAGAAAUGGAGCCUAGAAGUUAGCAAAUUAAAAGUUUUGAAAGACA